rnacentral:misc_RNA from 1 species
UCCGGUUUGACACCGGCAGUCUCCCUAGAGUGCCCAACUUUACUUGCUGGCAACUAGGGACAAGGGUUGCGCUCGUUGCGGGACUUAACCCAACAUCUCACGACACGAGCUGACGACAGCCAUGCAGCACCUGUGCACCGACCCCGAAGGGAGGGUGUGUUUCCACACCUGUCCGGUGCAUGUCAAACCUGGGUAAGGUUCUUCGCGUUGCAUCGAAUUAAACCACAUGCUCCACCGCUUGUGCGGGCCCCCGUCAAUUCCUUUGAGUUUCAACCUUGCGGUCGUACUCCCCAGGCGGGGCACUUAAUGCGUUAGCGCCGGCACCCAGGGGGUCGCUCCCCCAGGCACCUAGUGCCCAUCGUUUACGGCGUGGACUAC